UCUUACACGCGGACACUCGCAAGACGACCAAAUGACCUACAGAACAAAGACGGUCCACCUCCUCGCAAGAGAAGAACUGAAAAACAAGUCAACUACUUCGUCUAAAAACCAUAUCCCAUAUCCACAGAGGACCAAGAAAAGAUCUAGUAGAUACCUCCACAUCAAACACAAAUCACAAAGACGAAUCCAAAUAACGAGCUUAGGUUGAGAUGAAGAGACCAUGACAGCAAGAACCGAACAUAAGCAGCAGUCCCACGACUUCAAGCUACUACACCCUUGUCACAAAAUACCUUCACCCACGUUAACGACACCAAGAGAAGGGAACAAAUCCCACCGU
rnacentral:lncRNA from 1 species